rfam:Tupaia chinensis contig120723, whole genome shotgun sequence.
AUCCUUCAUGGUAUAUAAGCAUGAUGACUGGGUUUUCACACUGUUGUGUGAGAUGUGGCUAUUUCAGGUAAGAUGUCAGCACAUUUUCUGUCUGAUA